rnacentral:rRNA from 1 species
AGUGUCACACGGAACUGCCGGUCAUAAACCGGAGGAAGGGUGGGGAGUGACGUCAAGUCAGCAUGGCCUUUAUGGGUAGGGCUUCACACGUCAUACAAUGGCCGGUACAGAGGGUUGCCAAGCCGCGAGGUGGAGCCAAUCCCUUAAAGCCGAUCGUAGUCCGGAUCGUAGUCUGCAACUCGACUACGUGAAGUCGGAAUCGCUAGUAAUCGCAGAUCAGCAUGCUGCGGUGAAUACGUUCCCGGGUCUU